rnacentral:rRNA from 1 species
UACGUAGGCAGCAAGCGUUGUUCGGAGUUACUGGGCGUACAGGGUGUGUAGGUGGCCUGUUAAGUUCCGUGUGAAAUCUCCCGGCUCAACCGGGAGGGUGCGCGGAAAACUGGCGGGCUAGAGUACGGGAUGGGAGAGUAGAAUUCCUGGUGUAGCGGUGAAAUGCGUAGAUAUCAGGAGGAAUACCGGUGGUGUAGACGGCUCUCUGGACCGUAACUGACACUGAGACACGAAAGCGUGGGUAGCAAACAGG